AGUUUGAUCCUGGUUCAGGACGAACGCUGGCGGCGUGCUUAACACAUGCAAGUCGAGCGAUGAAAAAGAAGUAGAUCUCUUCGGAGUGACACCUCUUUGGAUUAGCGGCGGACGGGUGAGUAACACGUGAGCAACCUGCCGUACACAUUGGGAUAGCCUCGGGAAACUGGGAUUAAUACCAAACGAAACAUAUUGAUAGCAUUAUCAAAAUGUCAAAGAUUUAUCGGUGUACGAUGGGCUCGCGUCUGAUUAGCUAGUUGGUGAGAUAAAAGCUCACCAAGGCAAUGAUCAGUAGCCGGCCUGAGAGGGUGAUCGGCCACAUUGGGACUGAGACACGGCCCAAACUCCUACGGGAGGCAGCAGUGGGGAAUAUUGCACAAUGGAGGGAACUCUGAUGCAGCGACGCCGCGUGAGCGAAGAAGGAAUUCGUUUCGUAAAGCUCUGUCCUAUGGGAAGAUAAUGACGGUACCAUAGAAGAAAGCCCCGGCUAACUACGUGCCAGCAGCCGCGGUAAUACGUAGGGGGCGAGCGUUGUCCGGAAUUAUUGGGCGUAAAGGGUUCGUAGGCGGUAAUACAUGUCAGAUGUGAAAUCUUGUGGCUUAACCACAUCAAGCAUCUGAAACUGUAUAACUUGAGUGGAGGAGAGGUAAGUGGAAUUCCUAGUGUAGCGGUGAAAUGCGUAGAUAUUAGGAAGAAUACCAGUAGCGAAGGCGACUUACUGGCCUCUAACUGACGCUGAUGAACGAAAGCGUGGGUAGCAAACAGGAUUAGAUACCCUGGUAGUCCACGCCGUAAACGAUGAGUACUAGGUGUCGGGAGUCAAAUCUCGGUGCCGUAGUAACGCAAUAAGCACUCCG
rnacentral:rRNA from 1 species